ensembl:misc_RNA 7SK 7SK RNA
GGACGUGAGGUCGACCUGGAUGUGAUCUCUGUCGCUCCAGCCAUCACCAGGGUUUAUCUGGCUGAUCUGGCUGGCUAGUAAGUUGUUCUCUUUUAACUACUUCCUGUGUGUUCUUUUUGAAGUUGCAGAACUCAGUCGGAGAAGAGGACCACUGAUAGUUGUUGGCAACGUGUGUGCUCCUGAGUUUCCUUGUUUGGAUUUCCUCACAGGUUCUAAAAGUCACUUCUAAGCCAGGCCUAAUGGUAGAAUGUGUUGUCAGGUAAGCUGUGCAAAUCUUGGGUGAAAUACAUCCAGCAGAACUCAGUUUAUGAU